rnacentral:rRNA from 1 species
AGAGUUUGAUCAUGGCUCAGAUUGAACGCUGGCGGCAGGCUUAACACAUGCAAGUCGAACGGUAACAGAACUAGCUUGCUAGUUGCUGACGAGUGGCGGACGGGUGAGUAACGCGUAGGAAUCUACCGAAUAGUGGGGGACAACAGUUGGAAACGGCUGCUAAUACCGCAUACGCCCUACGGGGGAAAGGAGGGGAUCUUCGGACCUUUCGCUAUUUGAUGAGCCUGCGUGAGAUUAGUUAGUUGGUGGGGUAAUGGCUCACCAAGGCGACGAUCUCUAGCUGGUCUGAGAGGAUGAUCAGCCACACUGGGACUGAGACACGGCCCAGACUCCUACGGNAGNCANCAGUGGGGAAUAUUGCACAAUGGGGGAAACCCUGAUGCAGCCAUGCCGCGUGUGUGAAGAAG